AUCAAUAACCGUUAUUUGUGAAUAGUGCAAAUAACAUAAUAUUUUCGUAAUUAAAUCAGUAAGAAAAAUAAAAAAUAAAGUGCAAAUAAUAUAAACUCUGAUUUACUCUUAAUGCACUAUUUAAAGUAAAAUGCAUUGCUCACCACUUUCUGUAUUGAAGUUUAGUUUCCGCGCUUUCCUUUUUGUUCUUAACAAACUAAUAUAAUCAAAAUGGUCCUACGAUUUCAGUGUAUGACAUCCCUUAGAUGCAUGAUUUUUUUUUUCUUUUUUUUCAUAUUAGCUAAAAAUGAUUGUCUGUGCUUUUUUUAGGCUGAAACCACUGAUCUGAAGUCCACUUAUGCAAAGACAAAAGUUACUGUUCUGAAACAACCAGACUUAGCAGCUAGCAACAGCCCAUAGAGCAGUGAGACAAAGGUGGAUUGUCAUGCCUCAGGCAGUAAUUCCUUAUUCGCCAAGUUCCAUAGAUGUUAAAGUAUCUGCAGUGACUACUUGUGAGGUUUGAUGAUUGUUCAGUUUUUCAGACAUGACUUGGAAUUCUUUCAGUUUUCUCUGCAGCAUCCACGAAGAAGUUGGAGGGUUUGUUCAGGGAUUGGGAAUAAAGGUGCUUCAGAAAUCAGAACUGCUCGUCUUCUCUCCAAUUCCUGGAAUAUUUGUGAAUGCUCCAGACUUCAGAGUCUUUACUGAGGAUUAGAGUCACUAAAAAUACAUUAUUCCUAUAAUAUGGGCAUUAGUCGAGAAGAGAAUGGCACGUUUAUGAAGAACUCUCAUCAUAGCCUUCAUUCCUUGGUUGCUGUUAGAAAUUUGAAAACAGCAAGACACCAUCAGGUAGAGUUUUCAUGUCAAUGCGUUUAUUUUUAUUUUUCGGUUUGAUAAAAUUAUGUUUGUAUUCAAAAUUGUAGUAAGUCAACGCCAGAAAAUUUCCGGUCAAUGGACGGAACCGAGAUAAGGUAACAUUAACAUAUUACAAGUAAUAUAAUAGGAGGCAAUCACACAUGAAGUCCUACAUCCGUUUAUUUUUGUUCUUUACGUUUUAUUUUUGGGUGUUUCAAAAUAUUCUUUACAUUUUCUUUUACACAUAAAUGUUUUAGUAUUAUAUCAAAAUUUGUGUCAAAUGAUUAUUUUAACCAAUUAAGUUCAUUGGGUCAUUUAAUCUCUCACACAUUUCUAUUGGGACAUUAAAUUUUUCUCAUUUUCUCAAUAUCAUAAUUUUAAUAAGAGUGAAAACAUUAUAAAUAAACGUAAUUUCUUUGUUUAAAUAAAAAAAUAGAGGAAUCUCAAUACAUAUUAAAUAGUCAUUAAUAAACGAGUAAAAGGCCAAACGUAAAGAACAAAAAGAAACGGAGGGAGUACUACUUAGGAUUAACAAAUGUAUGUUUAAUGUAGCUUAUGGGUAGAAACUAUCAUAAAUUUCUGAAAAACAGGAAUCUAUAGUACUCCCUCCGUCCCAUAAUAUAGUGCCCGUUUGACCAAAAUCACGGUUAUUAAGGUAAAGGAUAACAUUGAUAAUAAAAACAAUAAUGAUUUGUACUUUCAAGAUAAAGUACAUGUUAGUUGGCAAAAAUGGAGAGAUAAAUUAUAGAUUAAAGGUGUGUACAUAAUAAAUAGGCCUAAAAAGGACAAAAAUCAAGCACAUGGGUUGAAUAAAAGUCAAAAAGUACAAUUUUCAAAGUAAAAAUUAAUGGUUUAAAAUAGAAAUAGGCACAUCAUUUAGGGACACCAUUUUAGGAAAACAGGCACUAUAUUAUGGGACGGAGGGAGUAGUUGAUUAUUAUACGUAGUAUUAUAAUUUUAUAAAAGGGCCAUUUUUUUUUUAAAAAAAAUCCGUGAAAUAGUAAUGUAUUCCCUCCUUCCUUUUAGAUUGCUUCGCAUACCAAGACUGGAUGUUACUUUGAAUUUUCCUCAUUCAACUUUUGUAAAUUUUUCCCAUUUGUAAGUUGUUAACACGUACCCCACCCACAACUCCACAAUGGACAUCCCUAUAUGGCUAACCUUUUCCCUCAGCCACAGAAAAGUGAAAUAUCAUAUCACCCCAUUAUUGCCCAUCCGAAUUCGACCCGUGUCGCACACCUUGUUUGUGGUGGGUGAGUUUCUGCAUAAUUGAGUGUACUCUCAUUUAGUUCACACUAUCUGGAUCGUGAGAAAUGGCUUCAUUUGGAAGAGUUGUUAAUGUUGGGUCAAAGGGGAAGCAAGGCUGUAGUGACCGCACGUUCAAGUUGAAAACAAAUAAAAUACCUAGAACCACAAUAGGAAAAUAUAUCUGUAGCAUGGUACACUGGCCAAGUUUUUAUGGCAGCAAACACAACACUUACGGUUUGAAUUGCAGGAAGACAUGCCUAACUGCCAAAGAUUGUGAUCACCAUGUUGGUCUUUGUCACUCAAGCAGACUUGCAAUAUCGUCUGUUUGAGUUUUACAGACAAGCAGCCGAAACAGGGAAUAAUCAGUUCAGGUGACAGAGUUUAUCGCAGAUGAGUUACGAUAUUAAAUUUUAAAAAUGCUAAAGCAUAUUGCUGCUUCAGAGUCUGAUCAUAACAAACUGUAGUGAAGAAGAGGAGAAAACUGAAAACUUUUGGCAAAACGCAAAAAAGCAGUGCCUUGGACAGGCAGGGGAAUCCAGUGCCUCAGGUACGGGGGAUUACUCGACAACUCCUGUUCUGACGACCCUUUUUCAACCCGGUUUGUUCCGGUUUUCAGCUAUGGGUUUUUCCUUGUACUUAUCAGGCACACAUAAAAGGCUCCUUCGUGUUUUAGAAACCUACUCUUCUCUUUUUUUUUCACCUUUCUUCAUCCCAUUGUAAAAUUUCCAAUAGAUACAGAACUUGCAACUCCGCCCUUCAGAUGUAUAAUUACCAGUUCAGUACAGAGCCAAAUAAGCUUAAGGUGUCGUAGCAUUUUUCGUUCUGGUUUUUACGGCACAUAUAUCCCUCAUUCGCAGCUCUACUUCUAGAAACAUCUUUCAUUCUUUCGUUUUCCUUUUGAUUCAUGUAACAGUUGAACCUUCUUUCAUGACUGAUAUAGAAUCAGGCAGCUACUUCACUACUUCUAUGUUGAUCUUAUUUUGUAAUAAACUUUGAUAGAUUGAAUAAAGGCUGUUUGCAGUGACUUCUUAAGA